UACAGAGGUCUCAAGCGUUGUUCGGAUUCAUUGGGCGUAAAGGGUGCGUAGGCGGCGCGUUAAGUCGGGUGUGAAAUCUCGGGGCUUAACUCCGAAACUGCAUUCGAUACUGCCGUGCUUGAGGACUGGAGAGGAGACUGGAAUUUACGGUGUAGCGGUGAAAUGCGUAGAUAUCGUAAGGAAGACCAGUGGCGAAGGCGGGUCUCUGGACAGUUCCUGACGCUGAGGCACGAAGGUCAGGGGAGCAAACGGG
rnacentral:rRNA from 1 species